GACGAACGCUGGCGGCGUGCCUAACACAUGCAAGUCGAACGGACAGGCCCUGCUUUUGUGGGGUGCUCGAGUGGCGAACGGGUGAGUAACACGUGAGUAACCUGCCCUCGACUUUGGGAUAACUUCAUGAAACUGGGGCCCUUCCGGGGAAGGAGUACUCGCUGCUUGGGGGGGGUGGGACAGUUUCGCCGGUUGGGGGUGGACUUGCGGCUCCUCGGCUUGUUGGUGGGGUAGGGGCUAACCAAGGCUUUGCCGGGUAGCGGGCCUGAGAGGGUGCCCGGCCACAUUGGGACUGAGAUGCGGCCCAGACUCCUACGGGAGGCAGCAGUGGGGAAUAUUGCACAAUGGGCGGAAGCCUGAUGCAGCGACGCCGCGUGCGGGAUAACGGCCUUCGGGUUGUAAACCGCUUUCGCCUGUGACGAAGCGUGAGUGACGGUAAUGGGUAAAGAAGCACCGGCUAACUACGUG
rnacentral:rRNA from 1 species